AUAACUCCUAUUUUUCCACUGGACUGUUAAUCUCUUUUUGAUUUUGUGGAUAACUUUGCUGCAAACUAUGCUCUGAAGAGAGUUUAUUAUGUCAACUAUGCAUUGGGGAUAUCUGGAUGCAGGAAACCUUGCUGGCAUCUAUUAUGAACAAAGUCAACUUGACAUGGCAAUUCUGCAUUACAAGCAAGCUAUCAAUUGUGAUUCUACCUUCAUUGAAGCUUACAAUAAUCUGGUAAGUUGAUAAUGGUCUAAUAUGUCAAAAUGUGGUAUCCUUCUUGAUGGUGAGCCAGGUUAGUUAAUGAUCGACUUUCUUGCACAUUAAAAGGGGAAUGCUCUCAAAGACGCUGGACAUGCUCUCAAAGACGCUGGACAUUAUAGGGUGACUUUUUAAUUUGGAUAUUUUUAUUCUCUUAAGUUUUUUUUCCUUGUUGAAUAACUUCAUUUUAAUAAUUUUUCCCAAGUCAUGCUUUGCUUUACAACCUAACCAUCCACAAGCAUUGUCAAGCCUUGGCAGCAUAUACAUGGAUUGCAACAUGAUGAGUGUUCCUGCAUCAUUCUAUAAGGCAACUUUAGCAGUUACAACAGGGAUAUCUGCGCCCUUCAACAACUUGGCUAUUAUAUACAAGCAACAGAGGGAACACAUUUAAGGAGAUUGGUAGAGUUACUGAAGCAAUUCAGGAUUAUAUACGUGCUGUGAAUAUCAGACCAACUAUGCCUGAAGCCCAUGCA